UACGGGGGGGGCAAGCGUUGUUCGGAAUUACUGGGCGUAAAGGGCGCGUAGGCGGCUUUUCAAGUCGGGCAUGAAAGCUCCGGGCUUAACCCGGAAAUGUCGCUCGAUACUGUUGAGCUAGAGUGUGGAAGAGGCUACUGGAAUUCCGUGUGUAGCGGUGGAAUGCGCAGAUAUCAGGAGGAACACCGGUGGCGAAGGCGGGUCUCUGGGCAGUAACUGACGCUGAGGAGCGAAAGCGUGGGGAGCGAACAGG
rnacentral:rRNA from 1 species